rnacentral:rRNA from 1 species
GGCUCACCGUAAGGCGACGACGGGUAGCCGGCCUGAGAGGGCGACCGGCCACACUGGGACUGAGACACGGCCCAGACUCCUACGGGAGGCAGCAGUGGGGAAUAUUGCACAAUGGGCGAAAGCCUGAUGCAGCGACGCCGCGUGAGGGAUGACGGCCUUCGGGUUGUAAACCUCUUUCAGCAGGGAAGAAGCGAGAGUGACGGUACCUGCAGAAGAAGCGCCGGCUAACUACGUGCCAGCAGCCGCGGUAAUACGUAGGGCGCAAGCGUUGUCCGGAAUUAUUGGGCGUAAAGAGCUCGUAGGCGGCUUGUCACGUCGGUUGUGAAAGCCCGGGGCUUAACCCCGGGUCUGCAGUCGAUACGGGCAGGCUAGAGUUCGGUAGGGGAGAUCGGAAUUCCUGGUGUAGCGGUGAAAUGCGCAGAUAUCAGGAGGAACACCGGUGGCGAAGGCGGAUCUCUGGGCCGAUACUGACGCUGAGGAGCGAAAGCGUGGGGAGCGAACAGGAUUAGAUACCCUGGUAGUCCACGCCGUAAACGGUGGGCACUAGGUGUGGGCAACAUUCCACGUUCUCNCGUGCCGCAUGCGUAUACGCAUUAAGUGCCCGCUGGG